GUUCAGACUCCUCUACUUUUUAAGAAUAUAGCUCAAAAGGAAUAGGCGUGCCUAGCUCUGAAGUACAAAUCUUUUUUUUUUUUUUUUUGGUUCUUUUUUUCGGAGCUGGGGACCGAACUCAGGGCCUUGCGCUUCCUAGAGGGCGGUGUUCCAAGGAUUAUCACAGGAAGCCUUGUCUGCUUGCAUACAGUCCUUGCUAGGAGCAUCAGAGUCUAUCAGCAAAAACAAGACUCAGAUUGAUGGACAACUUUUCUUAAUUAAGCACCUUUUGAUUCUUCGAGAACAAAUUGCUCCAUUUCACACUGAAUUCACCAUUAAGGAAAUUUCCCUGGACCUCAAGAAAA
rnacentral:lncRNA from 1 species